GGGUGGGACCAUGGCAGCACUGCGGGAGGAGAGAGUUAUGGCCAGUGUUGCUGCGGGAGGACACAGGAUGAGCGGCUGAAUACAUACCACAUUACGUACAGUUGUGAAUGGAAAAGGAGCAAGAUGACGGUAGUGCGAUAUUUAACCCCGGAGCAGCUAGUAGGAUUUGAAAACUAUAAGUACAGUGCACAAGACACAAGCCCUCUCAGCAACUAUGUUAUGCAUCCAUUUUGGAAUGCUGUUGUAAAGAUAUGUCCACGAUGGAUAGCUCCGAAUGUUCUCACAUUUGUGGGCUUCUUGUUUACUGUUGGGAAUUUUGUUCUCCUGGCUGUGUAUGACUAUAGUUAUUAUGCCUCUAGUGAUGAACCUCCAGCAGACCAAUAUCCACCUAUCCCAAACUGGGUAUGGUUUGCCUGUGCAUUCAAUCAUUUUAUGGCACACACUUUAGAUGGAAUAGAUGGAAAACAAGCAAGGAGGACUGGGACAAGUGGCCCACUGGGAGAGCUCUUUGAUCAUGGGUUAGACUCUUGGUCGACCUUCUUUAUCCCAGCAUGCAUCUGGUCUGUAUUUGGCAGAUUAGAUUACAGUAUUUCCCCACUCAGGUUUUAUUUUGUUUUAUGGAAUGUUAUUCUCUGUUUCUACACAUCUCACUGGGAGAAGUACCUGACCAAGAUUUUGUUCCUACCAUGGGGAUAUGAUAUAUCCCAAAUGCUGAUAUUCGUGAUUUAUUUAAUAACGGGAUUUGGGGGGCAGAACAUUUGGAAGUUUAAGAUAUUUUGGGGGAUUUCUUCAGGAGCCAUGUUUGAAUUCAUGAUGUAUGCUGGCUCUCUUGGCACAUCUCUGCCCAUGUCAUUUUGGAACAUUUACAAGUCCUACAGAGACAAAACUGGGAAGAUGCUGGGUGUGUGGGAGUCCAUACGGCCUUUGUUCACUCCCAUUGUAUUCUUUACCUUCUCCACUAUAUGGGUAUAUCAUUCAUCUACAGACAUUAUCAAUAAGAAUCCAAGGAUGUACCUCUUCAUGGUUGGCACAAUUUUUGCGAAUGUCAAUUGUCGAUUGAUCGUAUCACAGAUGAGUAGCACACGAUGUGAAUUUAUUAACUGGCUGAUUCUACCUCUUGCCUUGUCUGUGGUGAUAGUGUUGGUGUUUCCCAGUCUGGAGAUGGCUACCCUGCUUGUUAUGAGUAGUGUUGCCACUGUGGCUCACAUUCAUUAUGGUGUUUAUGUGGUACGUCAGAUGUGUGAGCAUUUUCUCAUUAAGUGCUUCACCAUUAAAGAUCGAGCCGAUUGACUACUCGCCGACAGUGCGUAAGGAAUUUGUGGAUGGCUGCCCUCGGAACCAAUGUGAAAUUGAAAAUUUCUUUGUCUUUGACUCAAGGUAUCACUGAAGCUAACACUACUGUUGAUGAGUGAUAAGAGUACUGUAUGAGGUUGCUGAUAAGAGAGCCUUUGGUAGUGUAUAUUGUAUUAAAGCCAAAACUACACUAGGCAGGGGGAAUCAGCACUGAGUUCUUUAACUUAUCGUGAAGUACCUGUAUGCCAUACUGCCAUCAGCCCAUAACAACUUUACAUCAGGAGUAAAUACUGUAGUAAUGUAAGAUGUGAUUGACAAAGAAUUUUUUUUAUCAUGAUAUGUUUUAAUUCUUUUAACAUAUUGAAAGGUUUCGUUAGGGCGCUAAGCCAUUUGUCUGCAAAGUCCUUUGCACUGUCCCUCGGACGUAUCAGAAGCUUUGUACUGUAUGCAUAUUAAUGUACUGUAUGCUCAUAAUUUCUAAAUCACAAUAUUUUUCGGAACAAUUAAUAUUCUAAAAUACAAUACUAAGCUUAACAUUGUUAAGUUACCUAAGAGCUGUUAAAUUUUUUUAAUUAACUAUUUAGAUGAACUGCAUUAAUAAAUAAUUUCAUUCAGUAUUAAGAGUUGUGCAGUUUAAUAAAAAAAUUGAAGACAGGGGUGAAAUGGGACAAGUCUCAAACACUGCAAUCAAGUUUACAGCUGAAUUGCAUGUACACUCACUAUUGCAUGUACAGUACAAGCACACUUGUAUGCAACAGAUGCUGUACCUUUACAUUGACAUUCAUGUGUACACUCACGCGCCAUAGUUUUGAUGUGCCCUCUCCCCCUACUCCUGGCUUGAGGGAAGUCGUAGUCAGGGGUGUAAACCGAACGGUCCCUCUUGUAUAGUGAUGUUAAAUAUAGUAAUGGUAAAUAAAGUGUUGUGAAGUCACUAAAAUCCUGUAUCGUGCA
rnacentral:misc_RNA from 1 species